rnacentral:SRP_RNA from 1 species
GGCCAGGUCCCGCGCGCUGGGCAGUUGCGAACCGUGUCAGAUCCGGAAGGAAGCAGCACUCAGCGAUCUUGCUCAGGCGACGCGGUCAGGCCUGGCACGA